rnacentral:rRNA from 1 species
CUUCUGGAUGGACCUGCGGUGCAUUAGCUUGUUGGUGGGGUAACGGCCUACCAAGGCGAUGAUGCAUAGCCGAGUUGAGAGACUGAUCGGCCACAAUGGGACUGAGACACGGCCCAUACUCCUACGGGAGGCAGCAGUAGGGAAUCUUCCACAAUGGGCGCAAGCCUGAUGGAGCAACACCGCGUGAGUGAAGAAGGGUUUCGGCUCGUAAAGCUCUGUUGUUAAAGAAGAACACGUAUGAGAGUAACUGUUCAUACGUUGACGGUAUUUAACCAGAAAGUCACGGCUAACUACGUGCCAGCAGCCGCGGUAAUACGUAGGUGGCAAGCGUUAUCCGGAUUUAUUGGGCGUAAAGAGAGUGCAGGCGGUUUUCUAAGUCUGAUGUGAAAGCCUUCGGCUUAACCGGAGAAGUGCAUCGGAAACUGGAUAACUUGAGUGCAGAAGAGGGUAGUGGAACUCCAUGUGUAGCGGUGGAAUGCGUAGAUAUAUGGAAGAACACCAGUGGCGAAGGCGGCUACCUGGUCUGCAACUGACGCUGAGACUCGAAAGCAUGGGUAGCGAACAGGAUUAGAUACCCUGGUAGUCCAUGCCGUAAACGAUGAGUGCUAGGUGUUGGAGGGUUUCCGCCCUUCAGUGCCGGAGCUAACGCAUUAAGCACUCCGCCUGGGGAGUACGACCGCAAGGUUGAAACUCAAAGGAAUUGACGGGGGCCCGCACAAGCGGUGGAGCAUGUGGUUUAAUUCGAAGCUACGCGAAGAACCUUACCAGGUCUUGACAUCUUGCGCCAACCCUAGAGAUAGGGCGUUUCCUUCGGGAACGCAAUGACAGGUGGUGCAUGGUC